GUGAGGAAUUUUCCGCAAUGGGCGAAAGCCUGACGGAGCAAUGCCGCGUGAAGGAUGAAGGCCUAUGGGUUGUAAACUUCUUUUCUCAGAAAAGAAUUAUGACGGUAUCUGAGGAAUAAGCAUCGGCUAACUCUGUGCCAGCAGCCGCGGUAAGACAGAGGAUGCAAGCGUUAUCCGGAAUGAUUGGGCGUAAAGCGUCUGUAGGUUGUUUAAAAAGUAUUCUGUCAAAGAUUAGGGCUUAACCCUAGAUAGGCAGAAUAAACUAUUAAGCUAGAGUUUGGUAGAGGAAGAGGGAAUUCCCGGUGGAGCAGUGAAAUGCGUAGAUAUCGGGAGGAACACCAAAGGCGAAGGCACUCUGCUGGGCCAAUACUAACACUGAGAGACGAAAGCGAGGGGAGCAAAUGGGAUUAGAAACCCGUGUAGUCC
rnacentral:rRNA from 1 species